CAGCACCGCGGGAAUACGGAGGGUGCAAGCGUUAAUCGGAAUUACUGGGCGUAAAGCGCACGCAGGCGGUCUGACAAGUCAGAUGUGAAAUCCCCGGGCUUAACCUGGGAACUGCAUUUGAAACUGUCAGGCUGGAGUCUUGUAGAGGGGGGUGGAAUUCCAGGUGUAGCGGUGAAAUGCGUAGAGAUCUGGAGGAAUACCGGUGGCGAAGGCGGCCCCCUGGACAAAGACUGACGCUCAGGUGCGAAAGCGUGGGGAGCAAACAGGAUUAGAUACCCCGGUAGUCCCUGUCUCUUAUACA
rnacentral:rRNA from 1 species